CUAGAAGUCAAUCUUGACUGAUAUAUAUCUUUAUCUAGAGGAUACUUUAUACUUGACGGACAGUUUUAAUAACCAAUCAUGUCAUAUGUAUCCAUGAUUUAUCCUAAAAAUUAACAAAGAUGAUUUUGUAUAUUCUCAAGAUGUUGAAAAUUUGAGACAUACAUCAUUAGUGGUUAAUUUCUAAAUGCUUCUGAUCGAAGGAUCAUCAUGGAGGACAGUGAUCAUUCUAUUCA
rnacentral:lncRNA from 1 species